AUCGGACAACGGCGAACAAAUGGAGAGGUCGGCAUGUUCUUCGACAACGUGGUUAUCGCAGGGGUGGUAACGGUGGGGUUGAUGGUGGCUUUCUUCGCCGGUCUAGGCAUUUUCAUCUGGAAAGACUCGAGCAAGCGCAAGCGCCCUUGACCUUCCUGAUUCAUGAGCACGCAAGGCAUUUAGGGCGACUUCGGUCGCCCAUUUUUUUG
rnacentral:sRNA from 1 species